ensembl:lncRNA
AUGGUACCCAGCUCAGUGGUACCCGACCCAGGGGGCUCGGUGGUACCCAGCCCGGCUCAGGCAGACAGGUGCAGACGGGGCUCUGGGCUGGGUGCAGGGGGGCCGGGCAGCGCGGCCGGGUCUGCCCUUCGCGCGGGGCAGGAUGACGAGUUGGCCGGCUCUGUGGGUGCUCGGGGUCGGCGGCGGGGAAGAGGCUCCCUGAUUUGUCCGGCUGAGCGGCCAUUGCCCCUUUCCUCCCGGCGGCAUGGCCGGGGCUGGCACUGGAAUAGCCUGGCCGGAGGCUGCCUCCGGCGCCCGAAUUUCCCCGGCGCUUGUGCAAGAAGCAAGGAGGCUUCUGCUUUUCUUGUUGCAGCAGGAGGCGUCGCUGCCCGGCAAAGGGGCCGCGCAGCCAGCGCAGCCUUGGGCUUAUCGGCCCGCAACGGGGGGGGGGAGAGGUCCCCCGGGGCCGCGCGGGAGCUGAUUCGGGCCGGCUGUGCCGCGGGGCGGCCCGACCCUAUGCUUGCUGCGAGCAGCCCGACCCCGGCUCCUCUUGCGCAACGCCGACGCCAGCUCCCGUUCUUCGAGGGUGGCGAAAGGGCGCUUGCAUCCCGGCCGCCUCUCCGAGCCGCCCCGAGCGCGCCGCUCGGCAAGCACCGCGUCUGCGCCUGCAGCCCGGGCCUGCUAAACGCGCGUGCCCGCUCGCACGGAGAAGCCAGCGGCGAGGCCCUAAGUGCUUGUGCUUUAGAGUACGCCUGCCGCCAGCGUGCCGUAAUCCGUUCUAAUUUGGGGUUAGCCGCGGUUUUAUUCUUAGCAACCGGCAGGCGUACGUGUUUUGGCAAGUUUGCAGCUGGUGCCCGGCUCUCCCGGGGCCACGGCGCGUUUGCCCCGGCCCCCAGCGGCUCUUUUGACGGGGGCCCCCCCCUCGUAUCUCCCUCUUGCGGGGAGACCAGCCGAACGCCGGGACGGGGGGGCCGAGCCUCCAGACGCGGGCGCCCGGCCGAGGCUUGCGGCAAGGCUCUGGGGGUCCCCGGCAGCUCCUGGCCAUUGACAUACUUCCCUCCCCGACCGCGUGGCUGGUUUUCGGCGCCCCUCUCCUCCGUGGGGUCCCGUCCGUCCGCUUGCCGCGGGACAGUUCCCCAAUGUGUCGCUCCGUGUGCUUCUCCCACCGGGUUCGGCGCUGCUUAA